AGGCAUUUCAAAUUCAGAUGGUGCAAUCAUUUUCUCGUCUUCUAUCCUCCAUUCCAAAACACUCGAAAUGACUUUGAGAGAUAACGUCUAACGUUAUCCGUCAACGAAAUCCCUACGCAGGCAGCUUUAUCAGAAAGAAGGGGAGCGAUGAGCAAGGCACUUGUGAACGGGAACAGGUUACUAGGCAAACUAACUGAGCAAUCACAGGACGGUGGUCUGAUAUUUUGUUAAAAAUACGUAGACACGUCCAGACACGUUGAGGUUCUCUCCUUUGAGGAUGUAGACUCUUCCUCUCGGUUGCCGCUCCCUGUUUUUGAUUAUGCCCCGCCCUUUUCUACCAGUCGGACCAUAUGCAUAUAGAAGGAGGUCGCCGUCUUUACUUUUCUUUUCGGACUUGACCUGCAGUGUUGUGCAAUGGAAAAACAAGACCAACCCUCUGCGGAUGCACGUGGUUUUGUAGGGAUAUCCUACUGUCAUCUCUGCAUAGGAAACCGCCUGAAGGAAUGGACGGCCUCCCUAUAGAAAGUUCAAUUGGAGAUCACAUAUACAGUCUUAUCAGUCCCUUUUGGAAAUGGUGAAAAAAACGGAAAUGGUGGGGCACAUUCUUUUUUAAACGUUAAUCGCAACAAGCGUCGAAUCUGCUCGACGCAAUUUAAUUGGCAGGCUCGAAAAGUCUUCCUCGUCUGACUGCCCAGUUAUUUUUUGGGGCUUAUACUACAUUGGAAAAAAUGAAGAUCAAUCACGAGUUUUUAAUCGUUUUGUUAUGGUCCUUGGCAACAGACCGUUCGGACGCUUUCCGUCAGUGCGACAGUUAUGGCGAUUGCGGAGCCAUUCACUAUUGCCUACAUUCGUACUGCGAACCAUGUAUUCCAUGCAAAGAUAUGUUCAAUCGUCAGCCAGCGCAAUCAAUAACUGGUAAGACUAUUUGUGCUAAGCAUGAAGAUGAUUGCGGACCUUGCCUACCGGGCUAUCAAGCUGAAGAUUUAGCUCAACAACGGCGAACGAUGCGUUGCUUUCGUUUGCCCGAAACAGGCGAUCCACUGCCGGGUUUAGUCCCAUGUUUAGCUGUUAUAAUGACUAUCCUGUUAGCAACGGUGAUACUACGCUUCUGCGGCGCAUUUGCUUGUAGAUAUCAAAAGGAAAUUUGCUGGUCGAAAGAAGAUACCAUCGGACGUCCACGAUUCACUUCCAGCCACUGGAGCCGACGCGGAAGCAUUGAUUACAGAUGGCCUACCUACGUACGAGGAAGCGGUUAACAAUCUUCCGCAAGAUUCGAAUACUAAUGUAAAUAAAGAUGUUUCCGUUACGGAUGGCCAAGAUAGGGAUUGUGAGUUGAAUGCCGAAUCGGAUUCAACAAUAACAAAUUCGUCUGUGGUAGAACCAGACAUAUCAACGCCUGUCAUGUCCACCGAUUCUGUUUCGAAUCAACUGAUGGGAAUGGUUUUUCCGACUAUUCGAAUCUGCGACGAACACCCUCCCGUUGAAAGUGCAGCUUCGUCUAAUGAAGCCCAAGUGAAGGACGCCGAAGUUUUACAACCGCGUCGUUCAUCUUGUAACACUAUUACCCAUAAAGUGAUUGUUAAUCAUCAAAUACCUUCGUUGUCAGAGUCUGAGCUCAGUGUAGGAAACCAAGCGACCUGUGUUACGCCUCAGUCGUCAUUUACAAGUUCACUGGGACCUGGGAGGAUCGGAAAUAAGAUAGAAAUAGCACCGCCAGCAACAAGUUUGACAUUGGAAAGUUAUCAACAUCGCCAUGGAUCUACUGAAGAUAUCGAAGAGAAGACUCGACUGACGAGAGCAAAAAAGUAUGUUUUACGUGCGAUUAGCAAAUUUAAACGGACGCAUGUCAAAUGGUUAGUAAUCCGGUUUGCUGCGUGGAAAUCCUACAUCAACUAAAAACGAAGUGGGUAGUAGUUUGCCACAGUUAUCCAGAUAAAUCUAGUUGAAUUAUAAUAGCUGCCAAUUUCAAAUAGUUGAGAUAAUUAGCAAAUUACGUUAUCUAAUAUUCGCACGAUGGAUAGCAAUGUGGCGUAGUAUUCAAAUGGAAAUUAUGACAAACAAGUUUAGAUUUUUUAAAAAUAUCGCAUUUUUUAUAAAUGGAAGUAUGCUUUUUAGCUUGCCAUUACAGUAAAUACGAUAAUUUUUCUCCUUCCAUAUCUUCCUCACAGUUGGCUGUGUUCUCUUUCUACCAUCAUGUUGUACAGCAAAAGGCAACACCUCUUUACUCAUGCAAUUAACUCACGAUGUAGCUUAAUUCGAAACCCAUCCCUUGAAGCUGCUGAUGAUUUGUUGUCCCUACAGUCUAUGUACCAUGCAAGUAAAAACACCUGGAGGCUGUAUCCCUUUCCGAUAUUUGAAGUCACCUUUACAGGUAUACUUACACUAUAUGCAUUGGUCUGAUUGCUGUAAGCAAUGAGUCACGUGAAAAUAUAUCCAAUAGGGAAACAGUGA